GCCGGUGUAGCUCAGCAGGUAGAGCAAUGCAUUCGUAAUGCAUGGGUCGGGGGUUCAAGUCCCUUCACCGGCACCA
rnacentral:tRNA from 1 species